GACGAACGCUGGCGGCAGGCCUAACACAUGCAAGUCGAGCGCGCGGCGGACGGGUGAGUAAUGUAUGGGGACUGCACGAUGGCGGGGGAUAACUACUGGACACGGUGGCUAAUACCGCAUACUAUCGGAUAACCCAUAUGGGAUUAGCUAGUAGGUGGGGUAAAGGCUCACCUAGGUGACGAUCUCUAGCUGGUCUGAGCGGAUGAUCAGCCACACUGGGACUGAGACACGGACCAGAUGCCGACGGAGGCAGCAGUGGGGAAUAUUGCACAAUGGGCGCAAGCCUGAUGCAGCCAUGCCGCGUGUAUGAAGAAGGCCUUAGGGUUGUAAAGUACUUUCAGCGGGGAGGCGUUACCCGCAGAAGAAGCACCGGCUAACUCCGUGCCAGCAGCCGCGGUAAUUC
rnacentral:rRNA from 1 species